rnacentral:rRNA from 1 species
GACGAACGCUGGCGGCGUGCUUAACACAUGCAAGUCGAACGGUAAGGCUCCGGCUUGCUGGGGUACACGAGUGGCGAACGGGUGAGUAACACGUGGGUGACCUGCCCUGCACUUCGGGAUAAGCCUGGGAAACUGGGUCUAAUACCGGAUAGGACCAUGGUGUGGAUACUGUGGUGGAAAGUUUUUUCGGUGUGGGAUGGGCCCGCGGCCUAUCAGCUUGUUGGUGGGGUAAUGGCCUACCAAGGCGGCGACGGGUAGCCGGCCUGAGAGGGUGGACGGCCACAUUGGGACUGAGACACGGCCCAGACUCCUACGGGAGGCAGCAGUGGGGAAUAUUGCACAAUGGGCCGAAGCCUGAUGCAGCGACGCCGCGUGGGGGAUGACGGCCUUCGGGUUGUAAACUCCUUUCACCAUCGACGAAGGGUUUCUGACGGUAGAUGGAGAAGAAGCACCGGCUAACUACGUG